GUUUAAAACCUGAGGGACCUGGCACCCAGACCACUUCAUUGAGCUGAAGUGGUCUUGAUGACUAUAAUGUCCCUUUAAUAAAUAGAUAAACUCAUAAAGGGUUAACCUUUGUUUGUAAUACUUGGUCUAGUGUACAAUUUUACUGUACCUGCAACAAAUAGUGAUUGGAUUCACACCACAAAAGCAAGCAUACACGGAUAAAUUUAAUCAAUAUGCUCAGAAGAAAGAAAAUGUUUGACACUAAGGAUGGAAGGAUAAAAUAUUAUAUAGAAAAAGUGUAGAAACUGCAAUUAUAAAACUGUGAAUAGAUGUUAGAUGAGAGUAAGUAGUUAAACAUGGAGAAGAGGUAAGUUGAUACAGGAAAAAUAAAUGAGAUUUGUGACAAUGGGAAGGUAGGUUGUGGAGGAGGGCUCUGGACAACAAAGAUAAUGGAUCUUAAAAGAUCGUAUUAAAAAUUGGAUUUGAGGUCUAAAUGUGGGCAAUGAGGGUGCAUUCGUGAUGUGAUGGUCAUAAAUGCUACAUGCUGGUAACCU